AGUGAACGCUGGCGGUAGGCCUAACACAUGCAAGUCGAACGGCAGCACAGUAAGAGCUUGCUCUUACGGGUGGCGAGUGGCGGGCGGGUGAGGAAUACAUCGGAAUCUACUUUUUCGUGGGGGAUAACGUAGGGACACUUACGCUAAUACCGCAUACGACCUACGGGUGAAAGCAGGGGAUCUUCGGACCUUGCGCGAUUGAAUGAGCCGAUGUCGGAUUAGCUAGUUGGCGGGGUAAGGGCCCACCAAGGCGACGAUCCGUAGCUGGUCUGAGAGGAUGAUCAGCCACACUGGAACUGAGACACGGUCCAGACUCCUACGGGAGGCAGCAGUGGGGAAUAUUGGACAAUGGGCGCAAGCCUGAUCCAGCCAUGCCGCGUGUGUGAAGAAGGCCUUCGGGUUGUAAAGCCCUUUUGUUGGGAAAGAAAAGCAGCAGGUUAAUACCCCGCUGUUCUGACGGUACCCAAAGAAUAAGCACCGGCUAACUUCGUG
rnacentral:rRNA from 1 species